rnacentral:rRNA from 1 species
AAGUGUUUUCCGCUUCGGACCAUGCCUAAGUCCCUUGGAAAAGGGCAUCAUAGAGGGUGAUAAUCCCGUACAUGGCAUGGAGCGCCCGUAGCUUUGUGAUACGCUUUCUAAGAGUCGAGUUGUUUGGGAAUGCAUCUCAAAAUGGGUGGUAAAUGCCAUCUAAGGCUAAAUAUUGGGGAGAGACCGAUAGCGAACAAGUACAGUGAUGGAAAGAUGAAAAGAACUUUGAAAAGAGAGUUAAACAGUACGUGAAAUUGCCAAAAGGGAAGGGUAGGAGGUCAGAGAUGCGUCUUGGGAUUCAGCCUUGCUUUUGCAUGGUGUUUUUCCCAAGUUGCAGGCCAACGUCGGUUUUGGGCACUGGAGAAGGGUAGGAGGAACGUGGCACCUCUCGGGGUGUGUUAUAGCCUCCUACUGGAUACAGCGACCGAGACCGAGGAACGCAGCGUACUCGUAAGAGCGGGCCUUUUGGCACCUUUACGCUUAGGGCGUUGGCAUAAUGGCCCUCUACC